CUAAAUUUGGGUCAAAGUGAGCUACCUCCCAAGGUUUAAAAGCUGAAGAAUGAUCUUGCAGUGUAAGCGGAUUUAUGCUCAUGACACAAUUCUUCAUGUCCAUGUCUGGAUUGUUGCACAAAUACAUUGCACUGACUGGAGCUAAUAUUCUUGCAGUUGCUCAUUUUGUAUGUGAUUCUUCUUGUACAAGAUGUGUCUAGUGUUGCUUGUUUUACUGAAAUUAUUCUACAGAGGACACAGGCGGCUGUGGCUCAGAGGCAGAGCGGGUCGUUCCUUAAUCGGAAGGUUGUGGGUUCGAUCCCCAGCUCCUGGUGCCACAUGUCGAAAUAUCCUUGAGCAAGAUACUGAACCCCGAAUUGCUCCCGAUGCCGUGCAUCGGUGUGUGAAUGUGUAUGACUGUUAGUUUCUGUUCGAUGGACUUUGCCAUCAUUCCAUGGAAUGGCGCCGGCGACAACGGCAGCCUGUCAUGGCAGCUCCUUUCAUUGUUGUAGUUUUAGUGUGUUUUUGCUAUUUUGAACUCUUUUCUUACUUUCUUACUUUCUUACUACUUUGUUCAUGUCGCCUAAAUACUUUUUUGGCGUUUUUGAGCACUUUUUAUUUUUUGUUUACGCUGGUCUCCAUGGCAACGGGGAGUCGCAUUGUUUUCACCCGCGACCAGAUGAUCGCCCUGAGGCCCCCUAGCAUCCUGACUGGAGAGAGACCCUCCAUACCGGAGGAGCUGAGGAGGAGACGGUGAGGCUGCAGAGCGGGGGUUAACCGGCUUCCAGACGGUUCGAGCCGACAGGGACACCACCGCGACCGGCAUGAAGAAAGGAGGGGGACUGUCCGUGCUCAUAAACAACAGGUGACCUGAUGAAGCUCAGGAGUUCCUGGACCCAUCAGAGGACAGAGACAGCUGCAGCAUCAGGACAGUCUGGGUAUCCAAAGGAAGACUCAUGAA